UGCGGAAGGGAUAAGUGCUGAAAGCAUCUAAGCAUGAAGCCCCCCUCAAGAUGAGAUUUCCCAUAGCGUAAGCUAGUAAGAUCCCUGAAAGAUGAUCAGGUUGAUAGGUCAGAGGUGGAAGCGUGGUGACACGUGGAGCUGACUGAUACUAAUAGAUCGAGGACUUAACUAAAA
rnacentral:rRNA from 1 species